rnacentral:rRNA from 1 species
GAUGAACGCUGGCGGCGUGCCUAAUACAUGCAAGUCGAGCGAAGCGGGGACGGGUGAGUAACACGUGGAUAACCUCCUAUAAGACUGGGAGAACUACAGGAAACCGGAGCUAAACCGGAUACUUACUGAUGGAUCUUCGCUGCAUUAGUUAGUUGGUAAGGUAACGGCUUACCAAGGCAACGAUGCAUAGCCGACCUGAGAGGGUGAUCGGCCACACUGGAACUGAGACACGGUCCAGACUCCUACGGGAGGCAGCAGUAGGGAAUCUUCGGCAAUGGGCGAAAGCCUGACGGAGCAACGCGGCGUGAGUGAAGAAGGUCUUCGGAUCGUAAAACUCUGUUAUUAGGGAAGCGGUAACGAAAGAGAAAGCCACGGCUAACUACGUGCCAGCAGCCGCGGUAAUAG